AGAGUUUGAUUAUGGCUCAGGAUGAACGCUGGCGGCGUGCCUAAUACAUGCAAGUCGAUCGGAAUGUAGCAAUACAUUAAGAGGCGAACGGGUGAGUAACACGUAGGUAAUCUGCCCCAAGGACUGGGAUACCCAAGCGAAAGUUUGGCUAAUACCGGAUAAGAGGAAACUUAAAAGCAGCGAAUGCUGCACCAUGGGAUGAGCCUGCGGCGCAUUAGCUAGUUGGUGAGGUAAAGGCCCACCAAGGCAAUGAUGCGUAGCCGACCUGAGAGGGUGAACGGCCACAUUGGAACUGAGACACGGUCCAG
rnacentral:rRNA from 1 species